rnacentral:tRNA from 1 species
AGCCCCGUGGUGUAGCGGUCCAUCAUCAGCGGCUCUGGCCCGCUGGACCCAGGUUCGAGUCCUGGCGGGGCUACCA